CGCUCACGUUUCACUUCUCGCUCUAUGAUUGGCUGGCAGUCGGACGGAUGUCGCUGAUUGGUUGAGAUGGUCCUGACUGGAAACUGACGGCGCGAUCAAAAGCGCUCAGCGCUCAGGCCAAACGCGCAUUGACUGACGGCACGAGCAGGAGACGCGUCGCUGCAGGAGCGUUUGUGUUGUUCUGGACUACUUUAUAACUCUUCGAUAUUUUUUUGUGAACAGUUGGGGUAACGGGAAACAAUAUAAGGUGGACUGACUCAGCAAACCAAAAAUAAACAUGCUGUGCGUUCGCAGUUCAGGCGACUGUUUCCGGGACCAGAUGCGCUACAUGAUGAGGUCUCUGCAGGAUCUGAAGCAGAUACGUGAACCCGCCGACCAAUCAAAGUGCUCAUAUGCGACUCGAGCAUGUCAAAAAAGGGCACAACAGCGGGAGCAGCUCAGCCGCCUGCGGAAUUCUGACGUC